GAUCAUUAAAGAAAUUUAAUUGAUUUGUCUGAGCUCGGAGAGAGACAUCUCUGGGGAGGACCAGUGUAGACACUCAGGAGGCUCCUAAAAUAUUUUCUCUGCUGUGAAUGCUAUUUCUCCUGCCUGCGCUUAAGUGCGCGGUUGGUGGGUGUUCUGCAGUGGGGGGAGGGAGCCGACAAAGACCUGGGAGUGUGCGUGGAUCUCUCUAUUCCAAAGGAGGUGUUUUAUCACACGACUCGACACUUUCUAAUUACUACACACAGUGGAGUUUACUUUACUACUAUUCUUUUGUUCGUUGGGGGAAAGCUCUCUUUCGGGGGGGAGUUCUCCCAGUGGAUGCAAACACAAACAAAUAUUUUUUUAAACUAAUUCAGUCAACACAAGAUUUCUUUUAGUAGAAAACAACUUCAAAACUUUCAACAAUGGAUCUCUUGGUUCUCGCAUCGAUGAAGAACGCAGCGAAAUGCGAUACGUAAUGUGAAUUGCAGAAUUCCGUGAAUCAUCGAAUCUUUGAACGCACAUUGCGCCCUCUGGUAUUCCGGGGGGCAUGCCUGUUUGAGCGUCAUUUCCUUCUCAAACACGUUGUGUUUGGUAGUGAGUGAUACUCUCGUUUUUGAGUUAACUUGAAAUUGUA
rnacentral:misc_RNA from 1 species